rnacentral:rRNA from 1 species
GAUGAACGCUGGCGGCGUGCCUAAUACAUGCAAGUCGAGCGAACAGACGAGGAGCUUGCUCCUCUGACGUUAGCGGCGGACGGGUGAGUAACACGUGGAUAACCUACCUAUAAGACUGGGAUAACUUCGGGAAACCGGAGAUAAUACCGGAUAAUAUAUUGAACCGCAUGGUUCAAUAGUGAAAGACGGUUUUGCUGUCACUUAUAGAUGGAUCCGCGCCGCAUUAGCUAGUUGGUAAGGUAACGGCUUACCAAGGCAACGAUGCGUAGCCGACCUGAGAGGGUGAUCAGCCACACUGGAACUGAGACACGGUCCAGACUCCUACGGGAGGCAGCAGUAGGGAAUCUUCCGCAAUGGGCGCAAGCCUGACGGAGCAACGCCGCGUGAGUGAUGAAGGUCUUCGGAUCGUAAAGCUCUGUUAUUAGGGAAGAACAAAUGUGUAAGAAACUAUGCCCGUCUUGACGGUACCUAAUCAGAAAGCCACGGCUAACUUCGUG